rnacentral:lncRNA from 1 species
UUAAUGGAUAGAUCAAGUUAAAAAUUUUAUAUUGACGGACUGAUAUAGAAAUAAUAAUAGAUUAGCUUAGAAUUAUUGAUUGGGUGUUAAUUUAAUUAGUAUUGAUUUUUUUUUUAUUUUAAGAGAAUUUUACGAUAUAAUUCACCAUUUGAGUAUUCUCCUUAGGACUGUAUUGUAUCUACCCAUUCUAUUGCCACCAUAACAUCAACCGAGUGUGCU